rnacentral:rRNA from 1 species
CCUACGGGAGGCAGCAGUGGGGAAUAUUGGACAAUGGGGGGAACCCUGAUCCAGCCAUGCCGCGGGUGUGAAGAAGGCCCUCGGGUUGUAAAGCACUUUCAGUGAGGAAGAACGCCUGGUGGUUAAUACCCAUCAGGAAAGACAUCACUCACAGAAGAAGCACCGGCUAACUCCGUGCCAGCAGCCGCGGUAAUACGGAGGGUGCGAGCGUUAAUCGGAAUUACUGGGCGUAAAGCGCGCGUAGGUGGCUUGAUAAGCCGGUUGUGAAAGCCCCGGGCUCAACCUGGGAACGGCAUCCGGAACUGUCAAGCUAGAGUGCAGGAGAGGAAGGUAGAAUUCCCGGUGUAGCGGUGAAAUGCGUAGGGAUCGGGAGGAAUACCAGUGGCGAAGGCGGCCUUCUGGACUGACACUGACACUGAGGUGCGAAAGCGUGGGUAGCAAACAGGAUUAGAUACCCGAGUAGUC